UCCUACGGGAGGCAGCAGUGGGGAAUAUUGCACAAUGGGCGCAAGCCUGAUGCAGCGACGCCGCGUGAGGGAUGACGGCCUUCGGGUUGUAAACCUCUUUCAGUACCGACGAAGCGCAAGUGACGGUAGGUACAGAAGAAGCACCGGCCAACUACGUGCCAGCAGCCGCGGUAAUACGUAGGGUGCGAGCGUUGUCCGGAAUUACUGGGCGUAAAGAGCUCGUAGGUGGUUUGUCGCGUUGUUCGUGAAAACUCACAGCUUAACUGUGGGCGUGCGGGCGAUACGGGCAGACUGGAGUACUGCAGGGGAGACUGGAAUUCCUGGUGUAGCGGUGGAAUGCGCAGAUAUCAGGAGGAACACCGGUGGCGACGGCGGCUCUCUGGGAGUACUGACGCUGAGGACGAAAGCGUGGGGAGCGAACAGGAUUAGAUA
rnacentral:rRNA from 1 species